UACCGUGUCUUCCCGUGACCAUUCUCCACACAAAGCCAUGUCUUUAGGUUUGAUGGAACAUCUUAAAUGUGUGUGUUGGUUACGUGUUGUGUGUCUGUCUCUCAGCUACCAUCCAUCUGUCUCCUGCCAUCUACCACCUAUCUAUGCCUUUUUCUGUCCUCCGUAUAAAAACAAUAUCUCAAAGCUAAGUGUUUGUUCUUACAGCGUAUCCUUUUACCUUAAGUGGGAGGGGCUCAUGUUAUUUAGUAAAUGUAUCAGUUAUGAGGGUGUUUUUGCUUUUUCUUUUGGGGUAAUGCUGUCUUCCAAAUAUGUGUGAAUUUUAAGUGCUCAAUAAAAUGAACUUACCAAAUUGCAUGUGAUAUUUAAUAUCAUUUCCAAUAUAAAUGUGGUCAGCUGGACAUUUGCUUCAGGCCCUUGCUUCUAGCUUGAGCCCACCCUCACUGAAGGAAAGAUUCUGUUUCUUUCCUUCCAACUCUUUUCUUCCUUUUAUGCCCCUCCCACCUCUUCUUUCUUUUCCUCCUCA
rnacentral:lncRNA from 1 species